AUUGAACGCUGGCGGCAGGCCUAACACAUGCAAGUCGAGCGAGCGGCGGACGGGUGAGAAAUGUCUGGGAAACUGCCUGAUGGAGGGGGGGAACUACUGGAAACGGUAGCUAAUACCGCAUACCAUCAGAUGUGCCCAGAUGGGAUUGGCUAGUAUGGGGGGUAAUGGCUCACCUAGGCGACGAUCCCUAGCUGGUCUGAGAGGAUGACCAGCCACACUGGAACGUAGACACGGUCCAGACUCCUACGGGAGGCAGCAGUGGGGAAUAUUGCACAAUGGGCGCAAGCCUGAUGCAGCCAUGCCGCGUGUGUGAAGAAGGCCUUCGGGUUGUAAAGCACUUUCAGCGGGGAGGCGUUACCCGCAGAAGAAGCACCGGCUAACUCCGUGCCAGCAGCCGCGGUAAUUC
rnacentral:rRNA from 1 species